UACGUAGGGUGCAAGCGUUAAUCGGAAUUACUGGGCGUAAAGCGUGCGCAGGCGGUUGUGUAAGACAGAUGUGAAAUCCCCGGGCUCAACCUGGGAACUGCAUUUGUGACUGCACAGCUGGAGUGCGGCAGAGGGGGAUGGAAUUCCGCGUGUAGCAGUGAAAUGCGUAGAUAUGCGGAGGAACACCGAUGGCGAAGGCAGCCUCCUGGGCCAACACUGACGCUCAUGCACGAAAGCGUGGGGAGCAAACAGG
rnacentral:rRNA from 1 species